rnacentral:rRNA from 1 species
AUUGAACGCUGGCGGCAUGCUUUACACAUGCAAGUCGAACGGUAACAGGUUAAGCUGACGAGUGGCGAACGGGUGAGUAAUGCAUCGGAACGUGCCCGGUCGUGGGGGAUACCGCAGCGAAAGCUGCGCUAAUACCGCAUACGAUCUGAGGAUGAAAGCGGGGGACCGUAAGGCCCCGCGCGAUCGGAGCGGCCGAUGUCAGAUUAGGUAGUUGGUGGGGUAAAGGCUCACCAAGCCAACGAUCUGUAGCUGGUCUGAGAGGACGACCAGCCACACUGGGACUGAGACACGGCCCAGACUCCUACGGGAGGCAGCAGUGGGGAAUUUUGGACAAUGGGCGAAAGCCUGAUCCAGCAAUGCCGCGUGCAGGAAGAAGGCCUUCGGGUUGUAAACUGCUUUUGUACGGAGCGAAAAGGUCUCCUCUAAUACAGGGGGCUCAUGACGGUACCGUAAGAAUAAGCACCGGCUAACUACGUGCCAGCAGCCGCAGUAA